ACCAUAACUUCAUACAUGUUUCGUUCCAUUAGUUAAUGUAGACAAGUCCGAACCUUAUCGGGGAAAGUUUCAGUGAAGACUGAAAUGAGACCCUUAAUGCUUCAAUUUGUUAUGAUUAUUUUUAUGAUGAACCUUGGUUAUUUUUACUUAUUUCGUUGAUAAUCAUGCAUGAAAUACAAGGGGUACACCCAAUGCUGUGCAUUGAAAUCAUACGUGACUUCCUCGGAAACACGAUAUCCUGGAUAACCUAGUAUAAUAAUUUGCUAAUUUAGAACAUUUCGUGGAAAUUACUUGGCCUCAUAGAAUCUUUAAGAUCAUUAUCUUCCAGACAAAAUGAAUGCCGCUUCUAAUAUCCAGAGUGAAAUUAUGGCAAGCCAAACAAGGCAAACUUGGGUUGUUCAAAAUUACCUAUCGAGUUAUCACUAUAUGAGAAAUAUAAUUUACCGAACGAGAAUGAAAAACUGUCAUGUGAGAUUUUAAAUCACCCAUAGACAGUGGAAAAACAUUAAUCGAGGAAAAGACUGAUGCAACAAGAUUCCGAGAAAUAAAUAUUGACUGUUGAGAAUGAGAAAUUGUUGCAUGAGAAAAAGAAGUUACUACACGAGAUUAUCGAUUAGUUUUCCUGAGCCCGUGUACAGCAAUCAGUCAGGGGAGUGUAUUUCUCGCAAAAUGGCGGAGCAACGGAGUGCAGAAGACUUUACAGCAUUUGUAAUUUUGUUGAUUCUCUCAGGAGUACCAUCGAAAGAACCGCUUCCGUUUAUCACGCAUAUGAUCAUGAACGAUUAGAAAUCUGUGCUAGGAAGCUUGAAGAACACAUAGGAAUGGUUAUCGCGAUAUCUCUGUCCCAAAAUUCCUCUCCAGACCUGUUUGAGGUGUUAGAGCUGUGUUAUUCAGAAGGUCGUCUGAUAUUUUAAAUGCAUCAAGCUUUCGUCCAAAGGAAAAAAAUCCGUUGGCAUUAUCUGCAAGUUCAGGAGGAAGACCGAGGUACAUAAUUACAAGGUAAAUGAUCGAGCAACUGCGUAAGACUGGUAUGAACUAGAGAACUAAUAGCAACAUGCCUUGGAAUCUCCGACCAAACACUACACACACAAACGAUCGAGUUUGGAGUAAGAAACAGUUUCACAGAUAUUACGGCUGAAGAAUUAGACGCGCAGCAACAGCAGACUCCCAAUUUAACGCCCUAUAGCGGGGAAACCUAUGUUAGGGGCAGUCUCAAAGUGGUUAAAAAAUUGCACCGAACACAAAGAGAGGAAGAAAAUUUGAUUCAUGAUUUGUCUGGAGGUUGAAAAUGAAAGUCAUGACACUUUUUAGCAGCUGUCACAGAUAGAAGCUCUAGCAUUGGUCCAGAUGUUCUGGCAAUAGGAUGUUGCUGCAACCCUUCUAGGGUAGUAAAGUGCACAUCAAUGUUUUGAAAAUUGUAGAACCAUAAGAACAUGGAUAGAGAUUUGCCUUUCAUUGACUUUACAAACCAUUUCAGGUGUUCAAAGAAUGUACAUUCUGCUUUAUUUGCUGGUUCAGCUUUGAAUAACUUGUUAAUUUUCUUGGAUGUUAGCUGCUUACUUUGGUAAAAGAUGUCGAGUUUCUUGAGGAACUGAAAGUUUUAUUUAAAGCAUAAUACCUUGAGAAUUGGAUUCCAGUAGUUGAUCACAUAUCUUGGCCUCUGGACAAGUUCCUGGUGGGUAAGCUUUAUGAUUAUGGCUUCAAUGUUGUUCUUACUUGGUGCUUUAAAACACUUGAAUGAUGUAAGUAAGUCCGAGACAUCUUCAUCACUAGGUUCAAAAUCAUCACCAAGGCACUUUUCUAAUGCCUCUCUAUCUUCUGUAGCUAAAAAUUGUCUAAAGCUUUUUAUCAAAGUCUCUGAAGUGAUAACAUCAUCCCCAUAAAGACACAGGGCCACAAAGAGGUGACACAAAUUUAAUGGGAUGUAAAAUUUCAGGAAUGAUGCUCUGCAUGUCAUGCCUAAUAAAUGAACUUUUCCAUUGUUUCCAAUCAUCAGUGAUAUGAAGCACUUUUGCCAAAAGCAUGCUAAAAGAUCUAGAAGAAUCCCCUUACCUUCUCACUCCUCUUCUUGCCCAGCAGUGCCAAUAUGUGGAGAUGGUAGUUCAAAGUACUUUCAUCUUUGAAAAUCUGCAUCACUUCUUCCCGAAUAGCAACUUGAGUAGGCCAUCAUCAAUGGUUUAAUCCUGUGAAAUGCCUUGAGCUGCAGGCAGUUUACUUAUGCUUUCAAUGGGUGGCUGCUGUGGAAACCGUUCAGUGAUCUCUUAUCAGCUGACAUUAUUGGGACUGGCAAGAGUUAGUUAUUGGGACUAAAUAAUGGCCUGUCCUUCGCUCGAUCUAGAGGCACUUCAUAAUUGGGAUUUAUGGUUACACUCGCGUUUGCAGCAUGAGCUUGUCUAGCACUAAGACUUGUUUCAGUGUAAGAGGGUACACUCUGUGUAGGAUUUAUGGUUGCAGUAGAAGUUGUAGCAUGAGUUUGUGCACCAGUUGAGCCUACUAUGCGGGUGUGCAGUAUAUUCUGUCUGAAGUUUGGUGUUACCGUUGAAGUUGAAGCAUGAGCUCGUGUGAAAGUUGGACCUGUUUCAGUGGCAUGAGGUAGUCUCUGUACAGGAUUUGCUAUUAUAGUUAAACCAGCACAGGAGGGAUUGCCUGUAAGUUUUGUCACCGGAUCUGGUAACAUUGCUGCUAGCAAGUUAUCAUCAUCAUCAAAUUCAAAUUCUGGAUCAUCUUUAG